rnacentral:rRNA from 1 species
UUCACUAGCUUGCUAGAAGAUGACGAGCGGCGGACGGGUGAGUAAUGCUUGGGAACAUGCCUUGAGGUGGGGGACAACCAUUGGAAACGAUGGCUAAUACCGCAUAAUGUCUACGGACCAAAGGGGGCUUCGGCUCUCGCCUUUAGAUUGGCCCAAGUGGGAUUAGCUAGUUGGUGAGGUAAAGGCUCACCAAGGCGACGAUCCCUAGCUGGUUUGAGAGGAUGAUCAGCCACACUGGAACUGAGACACGGUCCAGACUCCUACGGGAGGCAGCAGUGGGGAAUAUUGCACAAUGGGCGCAAGCCUGAUGCAGCCAUGCCGCGUGUGUGAAGAAGGCCUUCGGGUUGUAAAGCACUUUCAGUCAGGAGGAAAGGUUAGUAGUUAAUACCUGCUAGCUGUGACGUUACUGACAGAAGAAGCACCGGCUAACUCCGUGCCAGCAGCCGCGGUAAUACGGAGGGUGCGAGCGUUAAUCGGAAUUACUGGGCGUAAAGCGUACGCAGGCGGUUUGUUAAGCGAGAUGUGAAAGCCCCGGGCUUAACCUGGGAACUGCAUUUCGAACUGGCAAACUAGAGUGUGAUAGAGGGUGGUAGAAUU